GACGAACGCUGGCGGCGUGCUUAACACAUGCAAGUCGAACGGACAGGCCCUGCUUUUGCUGGGUGCUCGUGUGGCGAACGCGUGAGUAACACGCGAGUAUCCUGCCCUUGUCUUUGGGAUAACUUUAGGAAACUGGGGCUCAUACCGGAUAGGAGCUUCUGCUGCACGGUGGGGGUUGGAAAGUUACGGCGGUUGGGGCUGUACUCGCGGUGUAUCAGCUUGUUGGUGGGGUAGUUGCUUACCUAGGCUGGGACGGGUAGCCCACCUGACCGGGUGGCCGGCCGCACUGGAAGUGAGACACGGUCCAGAGUCCUACGGGAGGCAGCAGUAGGGAAUCGGCCGCAAUGGGCGGAAGCCUGACGGAGCAGCGCCGAGGGAGUGAUGAAGGUCUUCGGAUCGUAAAACUCUGUUAUUAGGGAAGAACAUAUGUGUAAGUGACUGGGCACAUCGUGACGGUACCUGGUCAGAAAGCCACGGCUAACUACGUG
rnacentral:rRNA from 1 species